CUAAAAAAACCCUGCUGCAUUUAAUUGUAACUGAGUAACUGAGUGUUUAUUAGAGACUUUUCACACUAAAUUAAUAAGGAGCUGUUUAGGUGCUGCUUUGUGCAGGGCAGUGAGAGAUUCAGCAGUGAGAUAUGGAAAACAACAGUAUUUGCACCUGCAGUACCUGGAUAUCAGAGCUACCGUGGCAGCAGCAGUGGUAGGAGCAGUGGCAGCAGCAGUGGCAGCAGCAGCUCCAGUCUGUGACAGUGCAGUGGAAUGUGUGUGACUAAUUGAGCACUACCUGACGGAGACAGUGGAGGACGGCUGGCAGGACAUGGUGAAUUCAAAACCCAGCGAUAGUGUGACAGUCACAUCCAUCCAUAACCUGGAGUCCACGAGAGUCAAACUGACCUUCUUCUCUGAUUCUGGCCUUUUCCUCGACCGUUUUAUCACCCAAAAGGCCAGCAGAUUCAUCCAUCUCCGCCGCCCUGCAUCCAGCUGACACUGAGAGCAUUCAUAACAGCGUAACGUGUAAUGGGACAGCAAAUACUUUUCAAACAGACACGUGAAAAAUAUCCCUGACGGGCAAAUAGCCUCACAAUAUCAGAACGUUUUAACUCGGCCAUAUGUCAAAAAACGCAGCGAUGGAAAAGUAAAAGCAGUACCUGAUGUUUGGUGAGCGUUUUUUUAUUUUUCCCCAGCGUGGAGCUGCGUAUCAGACGCACCUCGUUUCUGAAAGAGCCCACUAUAAUGCCCUCUGCAGCAUUCGCUCACAAAUGCCUCUGAGCUGUCGGCCCCUGGCUGCAUCGCAUUACCGACAUAAGAGUCUAAUACGCCUCUUCUGU